rnacentral:rRNA from 1 species
CGGUGUUUAACUGGCGUGAUGUGGGACGUCCUACCGGUGGGCUUAGCCUCGCGAGGGGCGGCCCAACUAAUAUCCCGUCGCGGUGCUCUUUACUGAGUGUCGAGUCGGGCCGGUACGUUUACUUUGAACAAAUUAGAGUGCUUAAAGCAGGCUAUCCUCGCCUGAAUACUGCGUGCAUGGAAUAAUGGAAUAGGACCUCGGUUCUAUUUUGUUGGUUUUCGGAACCCCGAGGUAAUGAUUAAUAGGGACAGAUGGGGGCAUUCGUAUUGCGACGUUAGAGGUGAAAUUCUUGGAUCGUCGCAAGACGGACAGAAGCAAAAGCAUUUGCCAAAAAUGUUUUCAUUAAUCAAGAACGAAAGUUAGAGGUUCGAAGGCGAUCAGAUACCGCCCUAGUUCUAACCAUAAACGAUGCCAGCUAGCGAUCCGCCGAAGUUCCUCCGAUGACUCGGCGGGCAGCUUCCGGGAAACCAAAGCUUUUGGGUUCCGGGGGAAGUAUGGUUGCAAAGCUGAAACUUAAAGGAAUUGACGGAAGGGCACCACCAGGAGUGGAGCCUGCGGCUUAAUUUGACUCAACACGGGAAACCUCACCAGGCCCAGACACCGGAAGGAUUGACAGAUUGAUAGCUCUUUCUUGAUUCGGUGGGUGGUGGUGCAUGGCCGUUCUUAGUUGGUGGAGCGAUUUGUCUGGUUAAUUCCGAUAACGAACGAGACUCUAGCCUGCUAAAUAGGCGUACCUUAUGGUAUCGCGAAGGCCCCCGGCUUCGGCCGGUGGGUUUUUACUACCAACGUACAAACAAAUCUUCUUAGAGGGACAGGCGG